rnacentral:rRNA from 1 species
GUUGUAUGGUUAAGUGACUAAGCGUACACGGUGGAUGCCUUGGCAGUCAGAGGCGAUGAAAGACGUAGUAACUUGCGAUAAGCCCAGAUUAGGUAGUAACAACCAUUUGAGUCUGGGAUUUCUGAAUGGGGAAACCCACGUGCAUAAGCACGUAUCCUUACCUGAAUACAUAGGGUAAGGAGGCGAACCGGGGGAACUGAAACAUCUAAGUACCCCGAGGAAAAGAAAUCAACCGAGAUUCCGAAAGUAGCGGCGAGCGAAAUUGGACUAGCC